rnacentral:misc_RNA from 1 species
CAAUGAGUUCAUUGGCAGUUCAUAGUAAGUGACAAUCUUAAAAAUUUUCUUCCAGAACUUGCUUUAUUUUAUUUGAGAUUACUUUUUUAUUAUUUUUAAUUCUAUUAGAUGUUAGAAACUUGCUUUAUUUUUAUGAAUUAUCGAGUCAAACUGCGUCUGUUUGAAGUAAUAACUUGUUAUGAGCACUGCAUUACUGAAUAUUGCAAAGUGAAGGACAUAAAUUUUUUUGUAUUUAGUAAACUCAGAUUAAUUUCAUUCUGUGGGUGCAGCCCUUGGAUCAGCUGUCAUUAUUG